rnacentral:rRNA from 1 species
UCCUACGGGAGGCAGCAGUAAGGAAUAUUGCUCAAUGGCCGAAAGGCUGAAGCAGCAACGCCGCGUGAAGGAUGAAGGGAUUUUUCUUGUAAACUUCUGUAAGAGGGGAAAAAUAUCCCGGUUUACCGGGAUUGAUUGUACCUUCAGAGUAAGCCCCGGCUAACUACGUGCCAGCAGCCGCGGUAAUACGUAGGGGGCAAGCGUUGUCCGGAUUUACUGGGUGUAAAGGGUGCUCAGGCGGGUUUGUAAGUCAGAGGUGAAACUCCGAAGCUUAACUUCGGAACUGCCUUUGAUACUGCAAUCCUAGAGUUUGAGAGAGGCGAGUGGAAUAUCUGGUGUAGCAGUGAAAUGCGUAGAUAUCAGAUAGAACACCAAUGGCGAAGGCAGCUCGCUGGCUCAUAACUGACGCUAAAGCACGAAAGUGUGGGUAGCAAACAGGAUUAGAUACCCUGGUAGUC